GCUUACGGCCAUACCACCCUGAGACGCCCGAUCUCGUCCGAUCUCGGAAGCUAAGCAGGGUCGGGCCUGGUUAGUACUUGGAUGGGAGACCGCCUGGGAAUACCAGGUGCUGUAAGCU
rnacentral:rRNA from 1 species